rnacentral:lncRNA from 1 species
ACUCACAGAAGUGCGGAUGAGGGCUGAAGAGCAAGGCUCACUGGACUGUAAAGAGGAUCCAAUUUAUCCUACUUCCAGUUCACUCCGAUGCAUGGGCUAUGGAAACAAUGGAGAGAGAAAAGGGAUCGUUCAAAGAUGGUGCUGCAGCGUGGAUGCCGUGGAGCAGUGUGGAUGCCUCGGAUGUCGUGGAGCAGCAUGGAUGCUGCGGAGCAACGUGGAUGCUGGGGAGCUGGCUGGCCCGUUCCUGCUGCCAGGUGAAAGGAGCGCGGAGGGAGGCUGGUCCCGGCAGGCCUGGCCGUGAAGGGGGGGAUGGCCGCGGG